UACGGAGGGGGCAAGCGUUGUUCGGAAUUAUUGGGCGUAAAGCGCAUGUAGGUGGUUUUGUAAGUUUGAUGUGAAAUCCCUCGGCUCAACUGGGGAACUGCGUCUGAGACUGAUGAGCUCGAGUGCAGGAGAGGAACGCGGAAUUCCAGGUGUAGCGGUGAAAUGCGUAGAUAUCUGGAGGAACACCGGUGGCGAAGGCGGCGUUCUGGACUGCAACUGACACUGAGGGACGAAAGCCAGGGGAGCAAACGGG
rnacentral:rRNA from 1 species